rnacentral:piRNA from 1 species
UUCCCGUUUUGNAGAUGAGGAAGUCAGGGC